rnacentral:rRNA from 1 species
UACGGAGGGUGCAAGCGUUUGUUCGGAAUUACUGGGCGUAAAGCGUGCGCAGGCGGCCCUCCAAGUCAGGGGGUGAAAGCCCAGAGCUCAACUCUGGAAUUGCCUUUGAGACUGUGAGGCUUGAGUACGGGAGAGGUGAGUGGAAUUCCCAGUGUAGAGGUGAAAUUCGUAGAUAUUGGGAAGAACACCGGUGGCGAAGGCGGCUCACUGGCCCGAAACUGACGCUCAUGCACGACAGCGUGGGGAUCAAACAGG